AUUGAACGCUGGCGGCAGGCCUAACACAUGCAAGUCGAACGGUAACAGGAAGCAGCUUGCUGCUUUGCUGACGAGUGGCGGACGGGUGAGUAAUGUCUGGGAAACUGCCCGAUGGAGGGGGAUAACUACUGGAAACGGUAGCUAAUACCGCAUAACGUCGCAAGACCAAAGAGGGGGACCUUAGGGCCUCUUGCCAUCGGAUGUGCCCAGGUGGGAUUAGCUAGUAGGUGGGGUAACGGCUCACCUAGGCGACGAUCCCUAGCUGGUCUGGGAGGACGACCGACCACACUGGAACCGAGACACGGUCCCGACUCCUACGGGAGGCAGCAGGGGGGAAAAUUGCACAAGGGGCGCAAGCCUGAUGCAGCCAUGCCGCGUGGAUGAAGGAGGCCUUCCGGUUGUCAAGUCCCUUCGGCGGGGAGGAAGGGAGUAAAGUUAUUACCUUUGCUCAUUGACGUUACCCGCAGAAGAAGCACCGGCUAACUCCGUG
rnacentral:rRNA from 1 species